rnacentral:rRNA from 1 species
CCUACGGGAGGCAGCAGUGGGGAAUAUUGCACAAUGGGGGAAACCCUGAUGCAGCAACGCCGCGUGAGGGAAGAAGUAUUUCGGGAUGUAAAGCUCUAUCAGCAGGGAAGAAAAUGACGGUACCUGAGUAGGAAGCCCCGGCUAACACCGGGCCAGCAGCCGCGGUAAUACGGAGGGGGCAAGCGUUAUCCGGAUUUACUGGGUGUAAAGGGGGCGUAGACGGUGAGACAAGUCAGUAGUGAAAGCCCGGGGCUCAACCCCGGGACUGCUUUGGAAACUGUCUGACUGGAGUGCUGGAGAGGCAAGCGGAAUUCCUAGUGUAGCGGUGAAAUGCGUAGAUAUUAGGAAGAACACCAGUGGCGAAGGCGGCUUGCUGGACAGUAACUGACGUUGAGGCUCGAAAGCGUGGGGAGCAAACAGGAUUAGAUACCCCAGUAGUC